GGAAGAGCUUGGGGAGUACCUCAAGACGCUCUAGCCGCUAUCAACUUUUCGAGAGUAAAAGCCGCCGUUCUUUAACGGCGGCUUUUCUU
rnacentral:tRNA from 1 species